CCCUCUCGGUUUUAACUCUUCAUUGUUUCUCAAAUCUACUUCUAGGAGAGGAAAGCUGUUUUGAUGGGAGUCUGCGCUAAAAUCUCCCAGCUUAGAGAUCCCCAUGGUGAGGACUCACGUUCCUCAUCUAGAGACGAGAGUAAUUUCCAGAUGGACUUACCUGUUAACGAAAUGUAGACAUUCAAAAUUCUUCUUGGAUCACAAUGGAAGAUCAUCACUCCCCAAAGAGACUUUCUGCCAGGUCCUGUGUGUCGACGAAUGGGGGAGAAUAAAGGUGGAAUGGGGUAGAAACAGAGCAAACACCAGGGGAAGAUCAGCAGUAACCACAAUCAGGUACCAUGAAGAUGGGCAAGGCUGGUGUAGCUUGACUACUGAGACCUUCCACUUGCAAGAGACUGGUUCCUUCCCCCCCAUGGAACCUCUGACUUCUUGUAUAGUGAAAUGUGCCUGUAGCUCCCAGGUCUUCAGGAGCCUGGAAGUGGACAGUACUCUUAAAACAAAAAACAAAAACAAAAACAAAUGCCUUUUUGCUACCAAAAAGAAUUGCCAGUGACACUUGCCAGUGGACCCAGAAGCCAGUAAAAACCAGUGAAGUCAGAAGAAUUGCUUGGCUCUUUGACCCUAAACAAAAUCAUGUAUCACGUUAGAUUAAUUCCCAAACUGAAUUUAAUUUUUUUUUAAGUGCCGCGUUUUGGUAGGAUAAGAAGACACAUCUGGCAGGGAUGAGGUCAUCACAAGAAGAGUUUGAAUAUGUGCAAUAAAAAACAAUAAUAAAACA
rnacentral:lncRNA from 1 species